rnacentral:rRNA from 1 species
GUCGAGGGGCAGCACAGAUUGCUUGCAAUCUGGUGGCGACCGGCGCACGGGUGCGUAACGCGUAUACAAUCUACCUUAUAGAGGGGGAUAGCCCAGAGAAAUUUGGAUUAAUACCCCAUAGUAUUAUAGAAUAGCAUUAUUUUAUGAUUAAACAUUUAUGGCUAUAAGAUGAGUAUGCGUUCUAUUAGCUAGUAGGUAAGGUAACGGCUUACCUAGGCUACGAUAGAUAGGGGUCCUGAGAGGGAGAUCCCCCACACUGGUACUGAGACACGGACCAGACUCCUACGGGAGGCAGCAGUGAGGAAUAUUGGACAAUGGGCGAGAGCCUGAUCCAGCCAUGCCGCGUGCAGGAAGACGGCCCUAUGGGUUGUAAACUGCUUUUAUUCGGGAAGAAACACCUCUUCGUGAAGAGGCUUGACGGUACCGUAAGAAUAAGGAUCGGCUAACUCCGUGCCAGCAGCCGCGGUAAUACGGAGGAUCCAAGCGUUAUCCGGAAUCAUUGGGUUUAAAGGGUCCGUAGGCGGGACAAUAAGUCAGCGGUGAAAGUCUGUGGCUCAACCAUAGAAUUGCCAUUGAUACUGUUGUUCUUGAAUGUUUAUGAAGUGGUUAGAAUAUGUAGUGUAGCGGUGAAAUGCUUAGAUAUUACAUGGAAUACCGAUUGCGAAGGCAGAUCACUAAUAAAAUACUGACGCUGAUGGACG